AGAUUGCUCAAUCCCAAGACAAAGAGCUCUUUGACAAUGGGCUAGAGAAAAGGGUUAAAAGAUGGUUUAGAACAAAUUCAAGAAAGAAUGAUCCAGUUCACGCUUGGAGAAGCUGAAUCCAUGAGCUGAAUCCAGUGGGGCUGUGGGGCCUGGGGAGGAAAUUUUUCAAUUACUGGUGGUCAGCCAAGACCUGGGAGCACGUGAUCCUCCUGGCUCACUGUCGGAAGAUCAAUAGCAGCCUAACGCUGUAUCACAAUGCCCACGUCUUUGACCUCGUUUCAUUUCGUCAUGUAAACAUCUUACCAUCUCCUGUCAUCACAGGAAGGAUGUCACCUCCUUGAGGACAACUCAAUCCUUUUCAUCAUGACUAGGCUCCUCAUGUUUGUCG